UAUUAAAAUUUUCAUCCAUUUCUAUAGUCAAAAUUUGGUGCGACGACAAAAUUACCAGACAGUUACCCGUCACGUAUAACGUGUCCCUCAUGUUAAUGUAUAGGGACCAAUUCUUAAUUGUAGAAAUAAAUAAAUUUUUUAACA
rfam:Gossypium arboreum cultivar AKA8401 contig_3439_7, whole genome shotgun sequence.